AAAAAGUAGUUUUCCCUUAUCGCUAUCAUUAUCAAAAUACAGAAAUUGAUUAUUAAAGAAAGCAAGAGAAAUCAGGGAAAUAACAUAUGCCUCAGCAGUGAAGACUGCUGACUAAGGCAAAGGAAUCAUAGACUCUAGGAGAGUAUCGAGCAAAUAACAUGCCUGGCUCAGUCUAACAAAGAGAGACACAGACCCCAGACGGUACCAAAUGAAAGGUACGGCUAGCAAGGUCUAAAAACAGAGACUACAUACCCCAGACAGUAUCAAAUGAAAGAUACAGCUAGCAAGAUCUAAAACAAGGAAUACAGACCCCAGACAGUAUCAAAUGAAAGAUAUAGCUAGCAAGGUCUAAAACAAGGAAUACAGACCCCAGACAGUAUCAAAUGAAAGAUACAGCUAGCAAGGUCUAAAAACAGUGUGACUCUGAGAGUGGGUUUUCAGCAUUCAGUGUAAAAUACAGUGUGAAAUAUCGUUACCUUAAGGCCAUGAAUUAUAAGGUAACCUGGGAUACUCGUAACCAUACUAACCGACACUAGAGUACCUGACGCCCUGCAAGCGUCUAUAAAAUGUGACAUUUGUCACCCCUUGGCUUGGUAGGCCGUGUACUGUAGCUAGCAGUCAAGGUGCGGGGGUGUCAAUUCCAUAUAGAUCUAUACACACAUUGUCCGCUCUCCCUACAGGAGACUCUGGUUACCAACUAGACGACGGAGAAGGUCGUGUCCCGAAGAUGCAUCCCUAAUAGUGGGUAGUGGGUUUCCAAUAUAAGUGUUGAACUAGAGGUAGAGACUCAUAACUGAACUGACUAGAGUAAACCUAUAUGGCUAUGCUCGUAUACAUAAUAUAUAACUAAUGAAUCAAACGACCUUUGGACGGACAUCCGAUCCCACCAGACCACAUUUCAACGAAGAAAAGGAAAUAGGGUGGACAAACCUUCCUAAGUCCUUCAACCAUUAUUUAUAUGCAUCUAUACAAGCACAGGCAUACAUCUAACUACGUUUGAGUGUGUAACAAGUGGAAACAUAUCGUGAAGUAUAACCAAAUCAUGAGGUAUAAGAGAAUCAUGUGUAAUAACCGAAUCAUGAUGUGAAGUAUAAGUGAACAGUGUGGAAUAACCGAAUCGUGAAGUAUAAGUGAGCAGUGUGGAAUAACCGAAUCGUGAAGUAUAAGCGUACCAUGUGGAAUAACCGAAUCGUGAAGUAUAAGUGAAUAGUGUGGAAUAACCGAAUCAUGAAUUAUAAGCGUACAGUGUGGAAUAGCCAAUCGUGAUGUAUAAGCGUACAGUGUGGAAUAACCGAAUCAUGAAGUAUAAGUGUACCAAAUAUAAGUGUAUCACAAAGUGGAAGCGACAACAAGUGAAGUAAGAGUGUCUAAUAGGCAUAAGCGACUACAAGAAUAAGCGAAAUAGAGGCAAUAACAAGUAUAAACGCAUCACGAAGGGAAAGCGUUAUCAAGUAGGAGUUUAAACUAAGAGGGAGUAUCAAAACAUGGAAGAAAACCUUUAUACUUGAGAAAAUCACAACUUGGUGUUCUUUGGUAAAAUAAGUUUGAAAACCUUUGGAAAUCCUUUGGAAACCUUUCAUAAAUCAGUUUAAAAUGAACUUUGAUAUAACAGUAUAAGUAAGAUUUUGAACAAGUGAAAACAUUUUAGAAAACCAUUUAUAGUAUCAUACUCGGUAAAACAGUUUACAGUGUGGUAAAUCCUUGUGCAUGCUGGUUAUCAAUCACAUGUGAUUGAUAUGAUAACUGGCAUGUUUAACUUGUAUUCGCCCUUAUAAAACAUGUAAAACAUUUAAAUGGUUCAUUCAGGGUUAUGAACUCACUUGGUGUAAGUGGAUCCGACGAAGGUGUCGGUUGGGUGCUCGGUGUCAAGUAAAGACUUGGACACACUUAGUGACCUAUUUAACAUAUGAUAACAUAUGUUCACAUAUAAUUAGUACAUUUAAUACUAAUUAAACAAGUAUAUGGACUCUAAGGAGUGAAAAACACUUUGGUUAAGUGUUUGGGGUGUCCCGGGUAACAUUUAAGGGUGUGAAUGGCUUAGGAAUGGAGUUUACUCUUUAAGAGUAAACUCUAUACACUUAGUUUAUGUCCCUGGGACAACUCUCCAUGAGUUUACGGCCGUAAACUGAUGGUGAGGGUGUUUUAGGAUGUUUAAAGGCUCUAUCUUGAUCGUGGAAUUUUUCUAGGUCCAAAUCUAAAUUGUAUGAGUGGAUUUAAGGGGUUUAAAGGGACCAUAUGGGAGUUUACGGCCCAUGAACCACCCCUAUGGGAGUUCACGGACGUGAACUCCUACCCUCUUGAUUUUAUGGAAGUUUAAGGCCCUUAUUUCAAUCCUAGUAAUUAUUCAAGGCUAUAGGGUGUUUGGUGUUCCAAAAGUGCACUCCCUUGGAGUUUAUGGUCCAAAUGACCACUCCUUGGGAAUUUACGGCCGUAAGCUCUUGGCUUGGCCUUGAACUCUCAUGCACCCCUUUAAACUUUGAUUUUAAGCCCUUGUUUCAACCCUAGCAUUUUCUAGUGAAGGUAUAAGGCCAUUUAGGGGACAUAACCUAUCAUUUGACAUGGUUUGGGGGUGGUUACGGCCUAAGAAUGUGCUUGGGCCGUAAACUCCUUUUUACCCCUCAUUUCUUAGUGUUUAAUUGUUCCAAACCCGAAAUAUUAAGUCCCUAUUUUAUGUCUUAAGCCUAAGGGUGGUUUGGGAGUGUUUGGAACUUGUUUUAACAAGUUUAGAGGGUGUUUACGGCCUAAGCAUGUGCUUGGGCCAUAAACCCUCUUUUAAGUCCCAAAAAUUGAUUGUUUUAUGGUUCAAACAUCCCUAGGCUAAAUCCCCAAUUGGUUUCUAAGCUUCAAGGGACAAAUUCGGGUCAUUUUGGCCACUUUUUAGGGGUUUACGGCCCUAUAGUGAUCUUGGGCCGUAAACUCCUCUUUGUCAGCUUAUAUGGUCGAAUUUUGAGCUAUAAUCACAAGCCAUGAUGUUUAGAAUAGUUUAGGGUAAAGAGACUUACGUUUUGGAAGCGGAAAUUCACGGUUUUGAGUCGAAAACGAGCUUUAUGAGAGAGAGUAUAGAGAGAGAGAGAGAGUGAAAAGGGGUGUAAUGAAGUCCAUUCCCCCUUAUAUAUGGGUUGGAGUUGGAGUUCAGUGGAAAUCUACCCGAUACUGUCGUUAUAAGGGGAUUUUGGUCGCACCCGAUUUAGUGGUCGCAAUGAAAUUUAACUUUUUCCAAAUUACUACGAAAAUGUAAUUUAAGUGUUUUUAUUUACUUUAUUACGACUAUAACGACAUAAAACAUAAAUAAAUAAACAUUUAUUUAUUUGACGACCUCUUAUUAACGGAACUUUUAUAUAGUGGAAUAUUCUGUUAACGGAAACGGGGUAAUGUAACGGAAUAAACUUUGGGUUGUCACAUCAUCCCCCCGUUAGAGGGAAUUUCGUCCCGAAAUUCAGGUCUAGGCAAGGGAGUAGGUAUGAAUGAUAGAGGCAGGAGGGUAGUUCCUAUUCAGUUUGUCCUCGCAUUCCCAAGUGAACUCUGGUCUGUGUUUGUCAUUUCAACAAACCUUCACCUACGGGAUGCGGAUUCCGUCUCGUGUAGUUAGUUGGUUCCGACUAGUGUAUCUACGAGGUUAGGGUUCUCACUGGUUUCUAUCUGGAUGAGUGGGAUACGAAGAGUGACGUCGGGUAAGCACAUAUCAAGUCUAAGGAGUGGAUCGAUCGGGUGUGAAACUUGUGGAAUAUUCGGAAGUAGUAGUGGUCUGACGAGGGUUGGACCAAAUCUCUGUGAGGAUUCUCAGAUGGUCCUAAGCUCUCGGAGGGGUAGAGCUUUUCAGUACUUAGAACAUAGUGUACUUCUAUGGAAAGAUCAUCACUGGCAUGACCGCUAUCCCGAAGUUCCUAAUGUUCUCUCCCAUACUGGUAGUGUAGUCCUUCAGGUUGGUUCUUAGGAAGCUCAAGUUGUCCUUGGUUUCGCGUUUUCCUGUCAAUUGGCUUUUAGAGGCUUUCUAGGUCAUCGAAUGGGUUGUGUGACUACAGUUUUCUGUUUGCUGUAGAGUGUCUAUCUCAAGCUCGUGCAAAAUGAACCUACACAAUGAAUCUUGAGAUAUUUCUAACGGAAACCCUCGGGGUCAGGGAGAUAGGGUUUCACCAGACGAGUGUUGGACUAUCUCAGGAGAUGGUCCUACUAUCUCUGCGUGAGAUAGUAUUUGUGGAACACCUAAUAGUCCAAUAAAUCUCUAAGACUUUGGUUUAUUCUAGUGCGGAAAGCGCAUGCUCCUGCAUAACCCCUCGACUAACACCAAGGCUGGUGUCAAGUCUAAAAUCUCUUCGGGAUCUGGGUCAUGAGGCUUAACGCAACUACUUUCGCACUCGAUCAAGUAUUGUUGGCUGUGGAGGUUAUCUUAUGGUUCUCGACAUUCUAGUGUUUACUUCGGAGAAUGCAGUCUAUCGUCUACAAGGCGUCGAUGACUUCCUCCAUGAGAGAGGACGGAGGAUCCUAGGCACUACUCGUCGGUAAUAAGUGGACAAAGUGCCUGAGUAGUGCGAGCAUCUACUGCAACUACUCUUCUGAAGGUUCUAAGUUUUCUUAGUCUAGGUCAAAUCUAGUGAGUAUAGGGUUCCAUUACUCGGAACUUUAAUCGAUUCACUAACUGAGGGUGUUAGUUAUCAUGUGAGCUUAACCGGUAUGACAACAAAUUUCGGAUUUGUGUCAUUAUUGUAGCUCAACCCGCAGUGGUUCUCUUGACUCCAGCUCCUAUUUUAUGGAAUAGGAUGAAGGGUUUUACUAUGAGGUUCGUGGUAGAGCUCAUACUUGGCUUAACUACUAAUACUUGGUGUAUGCAGGCCGUAUAUAAUUGAGGUUGGCAGGAUGUUCAGUUGUGCGACUCCACCCCUAACCCACAACCUAACGAGGAACAGGGAUUAGGGAGGAAGCACACAUCUUAAAUCUUUUUGAUCUCAACUAUAUACCACCUUUAUGCAUAUGCCUGGUUAUAGUGGUCAGUCUCAUGAGUUCUAUCCUCUGGGUUCACGAACCUGAUGUGCGAGGUGCGAAGGGUCUUUCUGGGGAAUGUACGAAGUAUGCUUCGGAUGGUUAUUGUCUUCUGGAGUAUCUUGCAGUGUCUUUCGCUUCGGUUUCCAUAUGACUAAGAGGGGUCGGUUAACAGCACGAGGUACCCUUCUCCGGGUACUUCGGAAAGUUUGAGAUAAGAGGGAAGACUGACGGGUCGUAUUAGGUUUGAUUAUUUGUAUUAUGUUUAGGUUUGGAAGAACCUUUAUUUGCCAACAUGGCUACGGAGAAAGUUCUUUUUACACAGCACUAGGGAUGUACACAUGGUUGCACUACGUCGAACCAUGAUCGAUAGGGUCGUCGAAAUUUGCAUACUUCGACAUGACAUAAAAUGAGGGUCGAUAGAUUCAUGCGCCGAUCAGGCACACAAGUUCUAAGAAUCUCGGGUUUCGUCCUGUGUAUCACUGCUGCGGAUACUUGGACCGAUAGAGUCGACGCGGAACUUUUAGAGAGUCCUAAGUGUUUCCGAGUAGAGUACCUUUUCAUGAAUGGAUUCUCACGAGGCAUUUCUAUAAUCGCCUAACAUAUACUAGUCAUGUAUAAUUAAGGUGGGGAGGACUGUUGACUGAGCGACUCCGCCCUAAAUCCACAACCAAACGAGGAACAGGAAAUGAGGCGGCAUUCACUCACUCUAGGUCUAUCCAUCUUAACUAUACGUGGUCGUAACGUAUAUGUUUAGCCAUUAUAGUUUUACCUGAUGAAUUUUUAAAUUUUAUAACAGUGCUGCGACUUUCGCCUUACUGGGAAAAUAUUUACAUUUGAAUUAGCCUUUUAAUGUUUUGCGUUAGUUAUCUGAGAUCGAGAGACGUGCCAAAAAUCUAUCGGGUUCCUGGAUGCUCCUCCUUAAGCAGUAGAGUUAGGCUCCUCCUGUGUCCUUGUUGUUUCCUUCAGUUGGGCAAUCUCUUUUGAAGUGUCCAAUCUCACCACAUAGUCGGCAAACUGGAUUGGCCAUCGCAUUGGUGAUUAAUGCAAUACGCUCCACCGGAGCUCUGCAUACACGAGCAGUAUGCCCCUUCAUGUUGCACCUAGCACAUAUGAGUUCUCGGCAGACACCAUGAUGAUGGUAGCUGCACUUGCUGCAGUGGGGGAGGUUUCCUAGGUAUGGUCUUCUUGAAGCCAGGAGGGAAGGAUUGACAGGAGUAUUGAUUGCCUCAGCUCGUUGCCCUUCGGAAGGUCCUUGAGCCGAGGUACCUCCCUCCUCGAUCUUGAGUUUUCUCUUUAGUGGAUUCGGUUGAGGUUCUUGGGUGGCUGGGUAUGCAGGUGUUGGUUUCUGAUGUCCAUUGCUAGGAUUGGAAUUUCCGAUAGGGCUCUUGCUAACAUGGGCGUUGUUAGCAUUCAGGUGAGCCAUGACAGCUGCUACGGCUGCUGAGACUGCAGCUUGGAAUGUAGCUACAUCGAAUAAAAGAGUAGGUUUCUUGCUUGCGGACUGGUUACGCUUCUUCAGUGGCAUGGUUUUCUACAUGGAGAGGAAUGAGAGACGAUGGCUAGCCCUGGACAUAUCUGUCAUGACUGCAUUAGGAAUAAAUUUUUCCCGUGCCUCAGGUACUGGUUGUCUGAGUGUCGACCUACAUCCCUAUGAUGUAGUCCUGGUGUGCAAGGUAGGAGUAUGAGUAUCGGAAAAAGGCCAUAAGAUGCGAGUCGUUCCUACUACGUUACCUUUAUACUGGGAAAGGUUUCACUCUCUGGUCUGGAGAGAUUUGAGAACGGCUCGGAACGAAAAUCACAGAAAGAGAGGCUCAUGAAGGCUUAUGGCUAGAUACUCUCAAUAAAGGUGCGGGGAUCCGCUCUAAUCGUGUAACUGGAAACGGGAAACGAUGAUUUACCUAACACAUAGCGUGAGUAGUGUAACCACUAACUCACUAAAUUGUAUUAUUUUAAGGGUGUAUUAGCGUGACGAACACGAGGGUAAGACACUUCUUGGGUUCCAUGUACUAGCUCCUUCUAUCUGCCUGGUAUCUUUGACUGGAAUCGGCGUUGGUUUCCUUCGGGUAGUUACCUAGGGUUCUCUCCUCGUAUGGACAUAUUGAAUUUCUACUCCGCCUUCCUUCUGAUUCCGACUCUGAGUGUCAUCACUUCAUGAUGGAUGACUGGGAAUCUCAGAAGUUUAGGCGAAUUUCUCACCAAUGUCCCUAAAAAGAUAUAGGUACUUGGUGAAUUCAAUGGUCUCAACCCAGUUCAUUUAUUUCCGAACAUGAAAUCUUCUUAAUGAACCUCUUCUGGGUCUGUAUCAACUCUUCUAUCAAGCACUGAAGUGGAUAGGGUUGUCUACAGGGUUCAUGCGAGAAUGGAAAUGUCUAAAGAAUCCUAAGAGAUUAUUAACAUUUCACUGGAUGAUCCAUAUCGAGUCCUGCUACGAUUACACAGCGUACACAAAUCAUAUAUAGCUUGGAUCCGAUAGGCCUUCGAAUAUGUGAUACUAAUCAACAUCCACAUCCAAACAAGGAAAAGGAAGUAGAGCGAAACCACACAUUCUUAGCCUAUGGGAUCCUUAUUAUAUAUAACCCUGGGAGUAUACCCUCUGUAGUUGUAGGUAUAUCAAUAAGGAUCUUUUUAGUUCUCACACAAGGUUAUCUAUGCAUCCUAAAAUACCCCUAUGGUAUUUUAAUUUCUUGUUUGUUCUCUUAUCCUCUGAAUAUGAUUCUGGGAUUAGUGUGAAUCUUUUAGUGUUCCAAAAUACUCCUAUAGUAUUUAAAAUUUAUGUUUGGCUCUAACAUUCCUAGUUGGUAAGUUUCAGACCUGUUGCACACCACUAUCACUCCCAAGCACAUGUUCAUCGCAUCUCGAAUAAAUGUAGUUGAUUAGGUUACAUUUAUUCCAGCUUACGAUUACAUAACUGCCCAGGUUUCACGGUAAUGCUCAACAUCCGAAGACUUUUAUUAUCGUUCUUCUUGUGAUACUUGUGUUCGAGUGUUUAGGUUCUGGAUGUUCUUAUACUUUGGUAAAAUAUGGUUAUAUUUUAAAGUAUAAUUCUUGGUCAGAGUGUUUUAUCCCUUUUGUAUUUAUAGGCUGUAUAUCUUUUAUGAAUUGAUAUACUUAGCUCACUAUAAACAAUGCUCUGAUACCAAUCCGUCACACCCCAAAACCGAAACGGCGGAAACGUUCUGGGGUGGAUGACGUCAUGUCAAGUAUCACAACACAUGCAUUAUAGUAAUCAAAGUACAAAAAAACAUUGCAUUAAUAGUAAUAGUUUUACAUGGUUUACAUUACAAUACAUCAAAGUAAUACAAGUAAAUAUAAUAAGUACAGCAUGGUACUAAGCUAUCUUCAUCAACAGCUCCGGGGAUGUACCUGUCUAAUGCUGACCUGAGAAUACAAGUUAUUUGAAAAGCGAGUAUCAGCAUUUUUACAAAUGCUGGUGAGUUCAUAAGCAUUUACUGUCAUUUAGUCAAAUAACUUUAUAAAGUAGUAGUUUAAGAGUUUACAGUGUAUUAGAGUUCUUUCUAGAAAAUCCUAUAUUUUCUUUUAUAAAAGCAGCCUUCUACCAAGACUGGAUGGAGUUAUGUGGUAAAAAGUAGUUUUUCCUUAAUCGCUAUCAUUAUCAAAAUACAGAAUUUGAUUAUUAAAGAAAGCAAGAGAAAUCAGGGAAAUAACAUAUGCCUCAGCAGUGAAGACUACUGACUAAGGCAAAGGAAUCAUAGACUCCAAGAGAGUAUCGAGCAAACAACAUACCUGGCUCAGUCUAACAAAGAGAGACACAGACCCAAGACGGUACCAAAUGAAAGGUACGGCUAGCAAGGUCUAAAAACAGAGACUACAUACCCCAGACAGUAUCAAAUGAAAGAUACAGCUAGCAAGGUCUAAAAACAGUGUGACUCUGAGAGUGGGUUUUCAGCAUACAGUGUAAAGUACAGUGUAAAAUACAGUGUGAAAUACCGUUACCUUAAGGCC
rnacentral:lncRNA from 1 species